UUUUAUGUAUGAUUCUUAUGUUUAGAUGAUUAUUUAUGCUAUUUCUACUUGAGUUACUAAUGCUCUUCUGUUUUUGUUUUUGUUUUGUUUUUCCUUUCUUCUCUGAGCCGAGGGUCGAUUAGAAACAACCUCUCUGCCUUUUUGGGUAGGGGUAAGGCCCAUCUACAUAUUACCCUCCCCAGAUCCCACUUUGUGGGACUAUACUGGGUAGUUGUUGUUGUUGUGUCAUACCUCAGAUCUAGUAGUUAGCGUUUUAGGUUAUGCAGUUUCGAAAUGAAUCAAAGUUUUACACUAUAUUGGUGGUGAACUUUUAGUUUUUUAGGGUAGUGACGUCAUGGAAAGGUCUGUGCUGUAGUGAUGCAGGAAAGACCAUUUGCUUUCCUCAACCAGUUAAGGCUGACUGUGAAAAGCUGUUUGUAAAGCAAAACGGGAAAGAUUAAAUAUCACUAGUAAAUUAGUAUUCAUUUUCUAGUAUUAAAUGUUACUAGUAAACAAUAUUCAGUUUCUAGUCUUUCCUUAUAUUUUCCGCGAUUAAUGCUUAAUUGUAUUGUUGGACGUGUGAAUAAAAGUCUUACAUCGGAAAGGUUGGGAAUUAUGAAUACUCGUAGUGGUUUGAGGCCUUUAGAGAAAAUUGUGCGGGCUUGACUUAUUGACCGAAAGCGGAUAGUAUCAUAUCAUGUUAAAAGAGUAUCUUUGGACUGCUUGAGUCCAACACUAUAUUGACUUAAUGUAGUAAAACUCAGAGAAAAGUUAACUCUAAUUCAUUGUGUAUAGCAUCAGAAGAAAGUACAGAUUAAAAAAAAAAGGAAAUCACUAACUUUUAAGCUGAACCUGAAGAAGCUUCCAUCAAUGAAUUUAGUAUACCUUCAUCUUGUGUGCAGGGGAAGAUCUUUUUCUCGUGUACUUUGGGAAACUCUUGAAUCAUUUCAUAAGAUAAUUCCUCAUAAUAUUUCUAACACAAAAUUGCCAGCUACAUUGCUUUCACAAGGAACAGCUAAUGCUUGUCAAAUUGUGGUCGUAUAGUAUCUUCGUACAAGACAAGAGGGGUUGCUCUGAUAGUAAGCAACCCGCACUUCCAAUCGAGAGGUUGUGAGUUCGAGUCUCCCCAAGAGCAAAGUGGGAAGUUCUUGGAGGGAAGAAUGUCGGGGGUCUAUUUGGAAACAGAUAGGGGUAAGGUCUGCGUACACACUACCUUCCCCAUACCUCACUAAGUGGGAUUAUACUAGGUUGUUAUUGUUGUUGUUGUUAAAGUAUCUUCGUACACUAAUCUAAAAUGAUUUGUUUUGAAGCUUAUAUACAAGACUAAAAGAAUGUCCCGUAGUCAAUACAAUAAAGUUUAUGCUUUAUUAAUCAAUUACCCACUUGAGCUGUUUGUUGAGUAACUCCAUGUAAUUAGAUAUCUUAAUUUAACAAAUGUUUUCCUAGGUGCAUGAGGUAGAUCCAGAUAUGGUUGAAUCUUAUAUUCUGAUGUAGAUCUUUAAUCUUCUUAGGCUUUGCUAGUGACUUUUUGCUUUUGGUUUCUUGUUGUCUUAAAUCGUCCUCUUUUCCUUAGAAGUUACUAUCUGAUUUGUGCUUGCCCUAAGGCCAAGGGAGAACUGCAUGUCCUACUAGUCGGAUAGAGGCCUACCUUCCUGUUGGCUUCUGCAAUUGUCAUCACCCACGAGUGUGGCCUAGUGAUCAAUGAAGUCUGGUAAGAACCAUGAGGUCUCAGGUUAAAAUUCCAGGAGAGGCAGAAAUACUAGGGGAUUUCUUCUCAUCUGUCCAAGCCUUGGUUGAUAGAGUUGCUGGUGGGAGGUGGUACGUAUCCCAUGGAAUUAGUCGAGGUGUGGGGCAAACUGGCCCGGGCACCACGGUUAUUAAAAAAAGAUCCUAGAAGCAAUUGAUUAGCAUGAAAUUAUCUGUCAUAAUUUUCAAAUGCUAACUCAUGCACUAAACAGACCACUUGUUUAAGAUUGUGAAAUUACUGCAUAAGUAGCAUCAGCUGUGUAAUAUAAUAAAUACAUCCUCUU
rnacentral:lncRNA from 1 species